GUCUGUAGAAGUGUUUGACGUAGUCCAGGGGGGAAUAUUUGAAGAAGAGCACAAGGGAGCAACUUAUAUUUUUAUAUAUAUUAUAAUUAUAUUUAUAUAAAUAUAAAACUUCAAAAUUUUUAACCCCUUGGUUCUUAAUAAAAAAUUUUUUUUUUUUUUAAAGUUGUCAGUGACUUCUGUGUUGAGUGUUGCCGAUUAAAAAACAAUAAAUAAAUGGAAUUUGAUUCGUUUUAAUUGAGAAUUAAGUGAAUUAUUAUUAACUUCAAGAGGGGGCUAUGAGUAGUCCAAUGUUCAUUGCUCUUAUCAACACAAAGAGCGGAGGAAAUGUAGGAUCCUAUCUCUUAUCCAGAUUCAAGGAAAUCCUUGAUGAGGAGCGAGUCUAUAAUAUCAAUGCGGAUGGAGGUCCGGGAAGAGCUCUCAAGGAGCAUUUACAUACGGAAAAUCUACGCAUCAUUGCCUGUGGAGGAGAUGGAACUGUGGGUUGGAUCCUCUCGGAAAUGGACAAACUAUCAUAUCCCGAUAGCGCUUGCAUACCCUCUAUUGGUAUUAUACCUCUUGGCACAGGGAAUGAUCUCUCUAGAUCUCUCAACUGGGGCGGAAAAUAUCGUGACAAACCUCUUCGCAAAGUUUUGUUGGAUAUUGCAAAAGCGGAUGUUGUAGAUUUGGAUCGGUGGUCUCUUUUGGUUACUCCAAGAGACGUUAUCAUGGAUGAUAAACUUUUGGAUGAGGAUGAUCUUAUGUUUGGAACUGUAGCUAAGUCUGAUGAUAACUUACCCCUCAACGUGGUGAACAACUAUUUCUCAGUGGGAAUCGAUGCACAUAUCGCACUCCAGUUCCACAAGGCUCGGAACAACAAUCCUGAACAUUUUACGUCCCGAACUCGAAAUCUUCUAUUUUAUGGACUCGAAGGAGGAAAGGAUCUAUUCAAACAACAGUGGAGAAAUCUUAUGAAUCACGUGAGGAUCGUUUGUGAUGGAGAGGACUUCACUGAUAAAUUAAAGGCCUAUGGAGCCCACUCUGUUCUAUUCCUGAAUAUAAAAUCCUAUGCUGGCGGAACAAAGCCCUGGAAUCGCAAGAAUGGGACCCAAGACAUUGCAGAUGGACUCUUGGAGGUCGUGGCUAUGGAUAAUUUAGAUUUAGCGAUACUCCAUGCUGGAGGUUCGGGUACGAGUGUAUGCCAAUGCCGAGAGGCUGUCAUCACAUCCAACAAACCACUUCCCAUGCAGAUAGAUGGAGAGCCUUGCAUGAUGAGGCCCUGUCAAAUCGUGAUUCGAGGACUGGGAAGUAAAGUCAAAAUGUUGGCCAGAAAUAAGACUGCGACUUAUGCUGUGAAGGAUGCAGAGAUAGAGAAUUGGGCUGCCAAGAAGAUUCAACGAAGUUUUAAGGAAUAUAAAUAUAAUAAGUCAUUAAGUCAAGAACUCAUGGACUAGAAAAAAAUAAUUAACUAAUUAUUAGUGCUACUCUCUCUCUCUCUCUUUCUAUCCUCUAAGUCUACAUACAAUGCAUAGCGGUCUCUCAGCCAGGUUCAACUACCACUCUUAUCACAUCAGACGCCUGUACAUGUCGAAUCAAUGGACAAUUUGCAUAUACUGUCUAAGAUCUUCAACUCUUAUACCAAGGAAUUCUCUUUUUUCAGAUCUAUGCUUCCUUGCGUUGGACCUACUAAAGACUAUUUCCCCUUCUAAGUUUUUGCCUUGUGACGUUUUCUCCUGUAAAUGGGGAAUUGAUAUACAAAAAUAGAGCUUUCAUCCUAUGAUUUUGGUAAAAUGAUGGCAAGAAUUUAUUCGAUUUUGUUUUAAUAACUAUUGCUCAUUUUCUUUGAUGAACAACUUUCUGUAAUAUUGAUAUAUUAUAGAAAGAGACUCUGGAAUUGAUUUAUUAUAACAGGUUUGACUUCAUUUUUAUUUUUAUUCAAGUCCACAAUGUUUUAGGCAAAUCCUCUUUGCACACUGUUUUUUCUAUUAGAAGAAUAGUUCAUAAAUGAAAGAGGAAAUUGAAUUAAACUUGUCGUGGAAUUAAUGUUAUAGGGCUAUUUUUUUAUGAGUGGGAAGGGGUUCUAUUUAUUUUUUCAUUAGAAUAAUAAUUAAUUAAUUAAGCUAUUUUAAUUAUUUAAAAAAUCAAUUACCCCAUUGUUUUAAUUUACUUCCCUCUUUCCUUACACAACUUUUUCUACUAAAAAAAUAGCCUAUAGUUGGUCCAAAAAAAAAAAAAGGAACAGAAUAGAGAGUGCGCGUCCCAUCAAUAGAGUAUUCUUUGAUCAAAAUAUGCAUAGUUCUUAUCUAAUUAUUUGACGUGGAAUAAUCGAAUGAUGUGAUAAUUCACCUUUAAGAAGACUUUUGAAUCUUAUAUAAUCAUAAUAUAUAAAUCACCAAACCUUUUCCAUCUAGUCUUACCAAAUUAUAUUUAUACCUAAAUUACCAUUGUUACUAAAUUGAUAUUCACUUCUCCUACUCUGAUUAAUAAAUAUUAUUAUUUAUAUCUUUUAAAUUUUUUGUGAAAUUAUCUCCUUUUUUGUUUAAUAUUUAUAUUAUUUUUUUUAAACAAAGUUAUGAAUACAUUAAUUAAUUAUCAUUACUGUCAGUUUAGGCGUUUACACAUUAUAUAUUUUAAGAUAUUUAUUGAAGAAUGAAAUAUAAUGUGGAGUGUGUCAACAAAAUAGUAAUCUUGAACAAACAUCAUAGGAAAUAUAUUUCUAAUUUUUAUUGGCUUAAUUCAUAAA
rnacentral:misc_RNA from 1 species